rnacentral:rRNA from 1 species
GAUGAACGCUGGCGGCGUGCCUAAUACAUGCAAGUCGAGCGAAUGGAUUAAGAGCUUGCUCUUAUGAAGUUAGCGGCGGACGGGUGAGUAACACGUGGGUAACCUGCCCAUAAGACUGGGAUAACUACGGGAAACCGGGGCUAAUACCGGAUAACAUUUUGAACCGCAUGGUUCGAAAUCGAAAGGCGGCUUCGGCUGUCACUUAGGGAUGGACCCGCGUCGCAUUGGCUAGUUGGUGAGGUAACGGCUCACCAAGGCAACGAUGCGUAGCCGACCUGAAAGGGUGAUCGGCCACACUGGGACUGAGACACGGCCCAGACUCCUACGGGAGGCAGCAGUAGGGAAUCUUCCGCAAUGGAUGAAAGUCUGACGGAGCAACGCCGCGUGAGUGAUGAAGGCUUUCGGGUCGUAAAACUCUGUUGUUAGGGAAGAACAAGUGCUAGUUGAAUAAGCUGGCACCUUGACGGUACCUAACCAGAAAGCCACGGCUAACUACGUGCCAGCCGCCGCCGUAA